GGGAAGCCUGGAGUGCUGCAGUCCAUGGGGUUGCAAAGAGUUGGAUAUGACUGAGCGACUGAACUGAACUGAAGUUGUUCAUGAGGUCAGUUAGCUCUUUUGUAUAUCUGUUUCAUCAAAACCAUUCUGUUUUACUAGUAACCAUUGAAGAAGCUUCUUGAUGACUGGAGAAGAACACAAAAGUGGCGAAUGAGGGUUUGCAAAGGCAGUGAAUGUGGAUGUAUAGUAUGGUAUAAUUUAAGAGGACCAGCUCUCCUGGUGUUGAGGUAUCGAUCAGCCUUGAUGUCUCCCAUCAGAUACACUUGCCCUUUUCAACCUAGAGAGGUAAGCACAGUUCUCAUAUAUCUCUGAGUUUGAAAGGCAAGCCAGGAAUGGAAAGUCAUUUUUCUGCAGUAUGGCAGUGUGAAGCCUUACAUGGAAAUACCU
rnacentral:lncRNA from 1 species